AGCGAACGUUAGCGGCAGGCUUAACACAUGCAAGUCGAGCGAGAAUAUGUCCUUCGGGGCAUUAGUAAAGCGGCGGACGGGUGAGUAACACGUGGGUAAUCUGCCCUUCGAUGGGGGACAACAAUCCGAAAGGAUUGCUAAUACCGCAUACGUCCAGAUGGUCUGCGGAUCGUCUGGGGAAAGCUGGGGAUCCUUCGGGACCUGGCGUCGAGGGAGGAGCCCGCGUCGCAUCAGCUAGUUGGUGAGGUAAUGGCUCACCAAGGCAAUGACGCGUAGCUGGUCUGAGAGGAUGAUCAGCCACACUGGGACUGAGACACGGCCCAGACUCCUACGGGAGGCAGCAGUGGGGAAUAUUGGACAAUGGGCGCAAGCCUGAUCCAGCCAUGCCGCGUGAGUGAUGAAGGCCCUCGGGUCGUAAAGCUCUGUGGAGGGGGACGAAUGGCCGUAAGUUAAUACCUUGCGGUUUGACGGUACCCCUUUAGCAAGCACCGGCUAACUCCGUGCCAGCAGCCGCGGUAAUACGGAGGGUGCAAACGUUGCUCGGAAUCAUUGGGCGUAAAGCGCACGUAGGUGGUUCGAUAAGUCGGAUGUGAAAGCCCUCGGCUUAACCGAGGAAGUGCAUUCGAAACUGUCGGGCUUGAGUACGGGAGAGGGUCG
rnacentral:rRNA from 1 species